rnacentral:miRNA from 1 species
AUGUCAGAUCAUGUUAGGUAU